rnacentral:rRNA from 1 species
UACGUAGGGGGCAAGCGUUGUCCGGAUUUAUUGGGCGUAAAGAGCGUGUAGGCGGCCUGACAGGUCUGCUGUGAAAACUCGAGGCUCAACCUCGAGAUGUCGGCGGAAACCGUCUGGCUAGAGUCCGGAAGAGGAGAGUGGAAUUCCUGGUGUAGCGGUGAAAUGCGCAGAUAUCGGGAGGAACACCAGCGGCGAAGGCGGCACUCUGGGCUGGUACUGACGCUGAGGAGCGAAAGCGUGGGUAGCAAACAGG